UUCGGGAUGCCGGCGAGUGGCGAACGGGUGCGUAACGCGUGGAAACCUGCCCUGAGAUGGGGGACAACAGCUGGAAACGGCUGCUAAUACCGCAUAAGCCCUACGGGGGAAAGACGUAAGUCGUCUUGGGAGGGGUCCGCGUCGGAUUAGCUUGUUGGCGAGGUAAUGGCUCACCAAGGCGAUGAUCCGUAGCUGGUCUGAGAGGACGAUCAGCCACACUGGGACUGAGACACGGCCCAGACUCCUACGGGAGGCAGCAGUGGGGAAUAUUGCGCAAUGGGGGAAACCCUGACGCAGCGAUACCGCGUGGGUGAAGAAGGUCUUCGGAUUGUAAAGCCCUUUCAGUGGGAAAGAUGAUGACGGUACCCACAGAAGAAGCUCCGGCUAACUCCGUGCCAGCAGCCGCGGUAAUACGGAGGGGGCGAGCGUUGUUCGGAAUUACUGGGCGUAAAGGGCGCGUAGGCUGUUUUGCAAG
rnacentral:rRNA from 1 species